UCCUCACAAGGCCUUUCCUCUGUGCCUGUUCCUGUCACUUCAGAGCCUCCUGAAGUCCCUGUCAGAGACCAGGAACCAGGCCUGGGUUGGGGCCGGAGCGGACAUUCUCAACAAGGCAGGAUCUGGAAGCGGAAAC